rnacentral:misc_RNA from 1 species
UCAACUCCUUUUCAAGCUCAUCAAACUCCCAGUCACCAAUCUCUUCUGUUGAGUAAUCCCGAGCAUCCUUCCCAAACUCUGACUCCAGCUUUGCUAGUUCAGCUGCAGGAUCAAGCAUCUGAUGUUCCUCAACUGCAGGUGCUUUGGGUUCCACAUCUGUCCCAGAUUUUGGUGAAGUAGGAUUCUGCAUCAAUUUACGGGGACUCGCCACUUCCAGUGGCUUCUCAGAUGCAGUCUCUGACUUAGGGGUCGGCAGAGUCUCAAUUUCUAGAUUUGGUCUCUCAACUGAUUCAAAUUCCUUUCUCAACUUCUCAAUAUCAUCAAAUAGUUCUUUAAUCUUUGCAUCGUCUUUCCUAUAAGAAGGCCCCUGUUGAGCAUAAAGCUGCUCCCUCAUGUUAUCCACCACACUGAAGGUAGUUAUAAUCUUGGCUUCAUAAUCCAAAUAUUCCUCCUCAAGAUUUUUCCUCGGAUGUAAUACCUUAGAAUCAUCACGACCCACACCUGCCACCUCUGACCCUUCACUUAAAUUCUUUAGAUUUUCCACAAAUUUCCCAAUGCGGCUGAUAUCAGGACCCAACUCUUUCUUGUAAUCAGAGAGUAGAUGGAUUGCCAAGUUCACAAAAUAGUCCUCAUGCCUCUCCAGUUCAUCAUUGACCUGCUUCUCCUUUGUCUCUGUAUAUGACCGCUGGAGAACCCAAGUAUCUUCCAGAAAAUUAAUCCAGGUACUCAGGACAUUUGCCUCAACCUUAGAUGCAGCAAUAGAUUUUGAAAGCUCAUCUUCCUUUGUUUUCAAGUGCUCAAUGAUCUGAUUGUUAGCUUCUUCAAACUGGUCUCUCUCUUCCCUAGCAUUGCGAAGCCGUGCAUUUGCAGCAGCCAGAGAAAUAUUAACCUUUUUCAAUUGAGCUUCAAGUUCAUCUCUUUCUUUUUCAAGUACAGAAAUUUCAGCUGAUAUUUCCUUCUCUCUUUCAUUAGAUUCAUCAGCUUUGGCAACACGAACUUUUAGAGCCUCUUCCUUCUGUAUUCUGUGAUCUAAGAUGCGCUUUUCAGCUUUUGCUGCAGAGCUAGCAAGGGAUUCUGACAAGACCUUCAACUUGUCAACCUUUUGAGCAUGAAUCUCUGGAGAGUCUCCAAAAUUUAAAUUUUUCUUUUUCAGUAAAAGCCCUUCCAAUCUGGAACAGAUGCGUAUUUGUGCAAGGGCGUCUUUCAGCGCCUCUACUGUUGCUUUAGCUGCUCCAUCAGAUGCUUUGUCCUGACCUUCACUUGAUGGCUUAUCAAAACCAAUCAUUCCAUCAAGUUUGUUCUUCAGAUCAAUGGCUUCAGCAUCCAUUCUUCCAAGAUCAGCACUAACUUUCAAC